rnacentral:rRNA from 1 species
UGGGGAAUCUUCCGCAAUGGGGCGCAAGCCUGACGGAGCAACGCCGCGUGAGUGAAGAAGGGUUUCGACUCGUAAAGCUCUGUUGUCGGGGACGAAUGUCAGGACUCAAAAUAUGGGUUCUGAAUGACGGUACCUGACGAGGAAGCCACGGCUAACUACGUGCCAGCAGCCGCGGUAAUACGUAGGUGGCGAGCGUUGUCCGGAAUUAUUGGGCGUAAAGGGAGCGCAGGCGGGAAGGUAAGUCUAUCUUAAAAGUAGCGGGGCGUCAACCCCGU